CGCCAACCGCUCAGGCUGCAGACUCUGCAAAUGCCUGUCAGCAUCAGCUCCCUCCAGCCCUUCCUUUUCCCUGCAGGUAGGUGCAGCCCCCGCGCUGGUGUGGCUGAUCUCCGAAAUACAUAGUUGCAGGGCUGUUAUCAAGAGAAAAAAGGAGGCUAAAUAUAGCCAUCGUGCGCUAGAUUGUAGGUGGCUGCGAGGGAGCCCCCGUGUGAAUGCAAAUGGGGGCUGUUAGAGCGAGGAAUCUGUUCCCUGGGUGCGACCGGCUCUGCAGGAGGGAUUGGGGAAGAAAGCAACCACAUGUGGAUUCCCAAGGGCUCAGGGCCUGCCUCUGGGCCCAGAUUUGCUAAAGUGAUCAGCAGCCAACGUACUGAGCUCCGGCAAACCUGGAGCGGAGGACUUGAGUCUCAUCUCACACUGGUGCCAAUUGGAAAUGGCUCCAUUGAAGUCAGUGACCCUGACUCGUAGUUACUCCAGGACAGGACGGGGGCUGCACGUAACUGACACGGGGCCGUCUGGGUCUGCAGAGAGCCUGAAACAAUAACUCAGAGGUGUGAACUCCCCUCUCCAUUGUGGGGUCCCUUGCUGGUCCCCGUCUCCUGCUUCCAGAGCAGCUAUUCACCCACCAGAAUCCGACGGUAUCUGCCCUGGCCCUUGCACAGUGUGUGCAGAGACAGGGCCGGCUCCGGGCACCAGCCCAGCAAGCAGCUGCUUAGGACGGCCAACGGUGAGGGG